UACGGAGGGUGCAAGCGUUAUCCGGAUUCACUGGGUUUAAAGGGUGCGUAGGCGGGCAGGUAAGUCCGUGGUGAAAUCUCUGAGCUUAACUCAGAACUGCCAUGGAUACUAUUUGUCUUGAAUAUUGUGGAGGUAAGCGGAAUAUGUCAUGUAGCGGUGAAAUGCUUAGAUAUGACAUAGAACACCAAUUGCGAAGGCAGCUUACUACACAGUUAUUGACGCUGAGGCACGAAAGCGUGGGGAUCAAACAGG
rnacentral:rRNA from 1 species